GAAAGUAGGGACCACUGAAUUGUUAGUAUUUGUCUUCUGUUCGAGUUACCAAAAAGAAUCAUCUUUAGACUCUGUUUGGCAACCUAGAAAAGUGUGCCUGGAAUGAUAAAGUUAUGAAGAUGUUUCUUCGCGAACACCAGCUCUUCUAGGGUUUCCUGUGAGUAAUUUUCCCUUACUUUUUUUUGUUGUUCUUCUUCUUCUUCUUAAGUUUUUCCCUUAAUUCCUUGUGUGCUCUUUGAUGCCGUAAAUGGAAGAAAUCAGUUGAAGAUAAUAUUUCGAGAAUUGGGUGUUUUACUUUUGUAAGUGGGUAUUGAUUUAUGUUGCUUUUGUUUCUUGUGAAAAUUUGUAGUUGAAAAAUUUUCCGAGUAAAUUUCUGGGGGGAAGAAGUGAUCAUUUUUUUCCAAGAACCUGCUUUGAGAAGCUAAAAUUUGGGUUUUUAGUACCGAUAUUGAAGAAAAAAUCUUGCUGACAAAAUUGGUUGGUAGCUGUUUCCACCAUUUUUCUGUUGCUUGCAAUAGGAUCAUAUGUAUAUGUAUAGAUGUUUCGUUUGAGGCCACAAGGGAGUCUCUGGAUUGCUGGUGGUAAUAGCUCAAGCCUCAAGAUUCAUUUUUGUAUACACCUUAUCUUGUUGGUUUGACACUAGAAACAUAGCCAUCAUAGACCAGGUUCAAGUUGGAUGAAAUUAAUUUGUGUUCAAAGAUGUAGAGAUGGCAAUGGUUGAUGGACUAGUUGUGUAUGUGCCGGGAUUUGGAAUUGAAAAUAUUUGGUAAAGCAUCAUGGUGAAUGUUUGAUUAGGAUCAGAGGCAGUAUGAUGUUACUUGAAAACACUUGGUAAAGAAUCAUGGUGAAUGUUUGAUCAGUUCAGAUGCAGUAUUAAUUAGUUCAGGGGCAGUAUGAGGUUACUUGUUUUGAAGGAUGAAGAAACCCUUGUAGCUUUAUAAGAAGAACCUUGGGUGGUAUUGGGAUUAGUACUUUCACAUAAUAAGAUAUCCAUGUGGAAUUAAUAUUUACAGCCAUUUAAUUGAUUUAUGCCAACCAACAGUGGUUUGAUAGAAGAUACAUCUCUUGUUUCUGAUCAAAAAAAGAAAAAGGAAAAAACAUUGGUUUAAUGGAAGAGGCUUAGUUUGUUUAUUCAUUAUAGAAAAGGAUAAAUCUUGUUAGGAUUCAGGCUUCCCUAGUGUUUGGACUGGGUACAAGAGAUGGCAUUAGUUUUUUGUUAAUGAAAAACAAAGAAUCUGAGUUAUCAGCAAGGUCUAGAGAAACAUUAUUAACAGUUGUUAUGUCAUACCUAUCAAAAAAAAAAAAUUAUAACAACAGGAGCUUGGACUGUUAUUGACCACUAUGGUAGCAAUUAUAAGAUAGAUGAUAGUAUCCUUAUGUGUGCAUGUGUGUGUACUGAAGUAUUGAGGAGGAGUUUGGUUCAAGACUAGAUGAAGGUUCUAAGAGAGCCAGAGAGAGACAGUAAAGAGCAUUGAGUCUGACAGAAGACAUUGGUCUAUUAUUUAACAAACAAGGCCAAACAUGCAGCGCAAUGGUGAAAAGAAUAUUUGUUUGUUUCUUUUUUUUUUUUUCUAGAAAUAUUAAAUUUUCGAGUGUAUUAUUCUAAAGAAUAUAAUAAGUUGGAUUCUUCUUUGGUUUGAAGCGGCUUCAGGCCUAAGAAUUAAUUUAACCAAAAGCGAAAUCAUCCCAGUUGGAGAAGUGGAGGAGAUUCAAGAGUUGGCAGUUGAGUUAGGUUGCAGGGUGGGAUCCUUGCCCUCUCAAUAUUUGGGACUCCCACUAGGGGCUCCUAAUAGGGCUCCUUCUAUGUGGGAUGGGGUGGAAGAGAGAGUAAGGAGGAGACUUGCGCUUUGAAAAAGGCAGUACAUUUCCAAAGGGGGGAGGAUCACUCUCAUAAAAAGCACCUUGGCUAGCAUGCCAAUAUACCAAAUGUCUAUUUUCCGAAUGCCCAAGACUGUUGCUAAAAGAAUAGAGAAAGUUCAAAGAGACUUUCUAUGGGUGGGAGGAAACUUGGAGGGGAAAAUUCAUCUAGUUAAAUGGGAUGUGGUUGGCACAGACAAGAACAAGGGUGGGCUAGGCUUAAGGAAAAUAGUCAUGCUGAACAGAUCCUUGCUUGGUAAGUGGAUUUGGAGGUUUGCUUGCGAAAAAAAUAAUCUUUGGAAGCAAGUGAUCACAACGAAGUAUGGGCAAGAGGAUCGUGGUUGGAGGUCAAAGAAGGCUAAUGGGGCGGUUGGAGUAGGGGUUUGGAAUGAGAUUUUGAAAGAAUCUGAUUGGUGCUGGGAUAAUCUAGUGUUUCUAGCUGGGAAGUGCACCAAAAUCAGAUUUUGGAAAGAUAUUUGGUGCACUGAUACACCGCUGUCCCAUUGCUUCACUCACCUCUUUUUUAUGGCUGCGCAUAGGGAUGCAACGAUUGAGGAGAUGUGGGAUCAAAAUUUUGGUCAAGGAGGCUGGAAUCUAAACUUUUUGAGAGACUUUAAUGAUUGGGAGUUGGAUAUGGUUGGGGAUUUGAUUUAUAUCUUGAGGGGUCAUAGGCCUUCUUUGGAGGAAGAUUCAGUUAUGUGGAGGCGAAGAAGAAAUGAUCAGUUCAGGGUCAAGGAAGCUUAUAGGUUGUUGGCCAAUCCUAAUGACACAGUAUUUCCUUCAAGGUGCAUCUGGGUGGAUAGGGUGCCAACCAAAGUUGUUUUUUUCGCUUGGGAGGCAACGUGGGGGAAGGUGCUCACUCUGGAUAGGCUCCAAAUAAGAGGGGUGCAACUUCCUAAUUGUUGUUUUUUGUGUGGUUGUGAAAAAGAAAAUGUAAAUCAUAUUCUUAUACACUGUAUAGUGGCUAGAGCUUUGUGGGAUAUUAUUCUUGGGUUAGUAGAUGUUAAAUGGCUCUUUCCAGAAACUGUAAAGGAGGUCUUAACUACCUGGAAGGGCCCCUUUGUGGGGAAGAAAAGGAAAAAGGUUUGGAAAUUCAUACCGUUGUGUAUUUUUUGGACGGUUUGGAAGGAGAGGAAUAGACUAGCUUUUAGGGGGUGGGGUGGGGGGUGUUGAAUAUCCAGAAAUUAAAGAAUUUUUUUGUUUGUAACUUAUGGAGCUGGGCCAGAUUGUAUUUAAGGGAGGAGUCUCUCUCCCUUAUAGGCUUUUUGGAGUGGGUAGCAUCCACUUAAGGGGAGGUGAAUCUUUUCUGGUCUUGUUGCUCUUUUUUAAGGCCUUAGCUGCCUUGUAUACUCUCUGUAUGUUUUGUGGCUUUUAGUCUCUUUUUAAUGCAUAUCUUGUUUACUUAUCAAAAAUAUAUAUAUAUAUAUAUAUAUAUAUAUAUAAUAAGUAAGGAGGUUCUUACUCAGAAUAGUCGAUUCAUUAAUAUUCUUGCAACCUCAACUCCUUUCUUGGUUGCCCUCUCUUAAGAGAUUCUGUUCUUUAUUUGGGUAAAUUAAUAAGUAAAUAACACUAAUAAGUCCUUCCCCUGUGCAACACAAUUAUGAAAUAGAGAAAAUACAUUGGAAAUUGGUAAUAAUACCACAGAAUUUCAAAACAAAUUAGAGGGAGGUGAGGAUUUGUGAAUGAAACUACUUAUUCACUUCUAAUUGAAAUCCAAUUCCCUUCUGCUUCACCACUUAGGUUAUGAGGAUGUAUAAAACACGUAAGGCUCUCUCUCUCUCUCUCUCUAGAGUCUUACGAGCCAAAGAGAAAUCUUGGCAUGAGUCUCAAAUAUUUUUUAUAUGAGCCUUAUGCACCAAAGAGAAUUCUUGAUAUGAGCCUUAUGACUCACUCUCUCCCUCUCUCUCAGCCUUAUGAGCCAGAAGGAAUUCUUUAUAUGAGCCUUAUGAGCCUAACUUUGCAUCCAUGAAAAGGAUAAGUUGUUAAACUAAUUAGUGAUCAAUCCAUGAGUCCUUUGCAUCCAUGAAAUGGAUAAUUUGGUAAACUUGUUGGUGAUAAACCCAGCUCAACUGUGAAAUGCCCCAGCAAUCCAGUACCCACCAGCUCAAUGACUUACCGUAUCUCCCAUAUAACUUUUGCAGACCAAGCAUCAUCUUCUUCUUUUUUUAGCAUAUAUGUGAUCCUGAUUUGCAAGAAUGGUCUGAUGGGGCUCUGCUGGUCUUUAGAGCUAACCAAUCUUGAUGUAAUUAGCAAAGAAUUGCACUUAAAAAAGAUCUACCAACUGGCUGUGGUCAGCAUGAGCAACUGCCUGCCUAGUUGAAUAUCACAAUGAAAUACUAUGAAGGUUGCAUAACUACUAAACCAGGUCAAUUGAAAUGUUCUAUAUUUUAAUGAAAUCAAAGUUUCAGAUCA